rnacentral:rRNA from 1 species
CUAUACAUGCAAGUCGAGCGAAUCGAUGGGAGCUUGCUCCCUGAGAUUAGCGGCGGACGGGUGAGUAACACGUGGGCAACCUGCCUAUAAGACUGGGAUAACUUCGGGAAACCGGAGCUAAUACCGGAUACGUUCUUUUCUCGCAUGAGAGAAGAUGGAAAGACGGUUUACGCUGUCACUUAUAGAUGGGCCCGCGGCGCAUUAGCUAGUUGGUGAGGUAAUGGCUCACCAAGGCGACGAUGCGUAGCCGACCUGAGAGGGUGAUCGGCCACACUGGGACUGAGACACGGG